GAUGAACGCUGGCGGCGUGCCUAAUACAUGCAAGUCGAGCGAACGGACGAGAAGCUUGCUGUUCUGAUGUUAGCGGCGGACGGGUGAGUAACACGUGGAUAACCUACCUAUAAGACUGGGAUAACUUCGGGAAACCGGAGCUAAUACCGGAUAAUAUUUUGAACCGCAUGGUUCAAAAGUGAAAGACGGUCUUGCUGUCACUUAUAGAUGGAUCCGCGCUGCAUUAGCUAGUUGGUAAGGUAACGGCUUACCAAGGCAACGAUGCAUAGCCGACCUGAGAGGGUGAUCGGCCACCCUGGAACUGGAACACGGUCAAGACGCCUACGGGAGGCCGCAGUCGCGAAUCUUCCGCAAUGGGCGAAAGCCUGACGGAGCAACGCCGCGCGAGUGAUGAAGGUCUUCGGAUCGUAAAACUCUCUUAUUAGGGAAGAACAUAUGUGUAAGUAACUGUGCACAUCUUGACGGUACCUAAUCAGAAAGCCACGGCUAACUACGUG
rnacentral:rRNA from 1 species